rnacentral:rRNA from 1 species
GACGAACGCUGGCGGCGUGCCUAACACAUGCAAGUCGAGCGGAGCUAGUAGCAAUAUUAGCUUAGCGGCGGACGGGUGAGUAACGCGUGGGCAACCUGCCUUCUAUAGGGGGAUAACACAGGGAAACUUGUGCUAAUACCGCAUAACAUACUUAAGGGACAUCCCUUGGGUAUCAAAGGAGCAAUCCGGUAGAAGAUGGGCCCGCGUCCGAUUAGCUAGUUGGAGGUGUAACGGACCACCAAGGCGACGAUCGGUAGCCGAACUGAGAGGUUGAUCGGCCACAUUGGGACUGAGACACGGCUCAGACUCCUACGGGAGGCAGCAGUGGGGAAUAUUGCGCAAUGGGGGAAACCCUGACGCAGCAACGCCGCGUGAAGGAUGAAGGUCUUCGGAUUGUAAACCUCUUUAGUCGGGGACGAAGAAAUGACGGUACCCGAAGAAUAAGCCACGGCUAACUACGUGCCAGCAGCCGCCGUAAUAC